rnacentral:misc_RNA from 1 species
GAAAUGCGAUAAGUAAUGUGAAUUGCAGAAUUCAGUGAAUCAUCGAAUCUUUGAACGCACAUUGCGCCCCCUGGCAUUCCGGGGGGCAUGCCUGUUCGAGCGUCAUUACACCACUCAAGCCUGGCUUGGUAUUGAGCGCCGCGGCCUGCCCGCGCGCUCCAAUGUCUCCGGCUGAGCCGUCCGUCUCUAAGCGUUGUGAAUAGCGAUCGCUUGCGAGGCCCAGGCGGUUCGACGCCGUUAAACCCCCCCAUUUUCUAUGGUUGACCUCGGAUCAGGUAGGGAUACCCGCUGAACUUAAGC